rnacentral:rRNA from 1 species
UACGAGGGGGGCGAGCGUUGUUCGGAAUUACUGGGCGUAAAGGGCUCGUAGGCGGCCAACUAAGUCGGAUGUGAAAUCCCCAGGCUUAACCUGGGAACUGCAUCCGAUACUGGAUGGCUUGAAUCCGGGAGAGGGAUGCAGAAUUCCAGGUGUAGCGGUGAAAUGCGUAGAUAUCUGGAGGAAUACCGGUGGCGAAGGCGGCAUCCUGGACCGGCAUUGACGCUGAGUGAGCGAAAGCCAGGGGAGCAAACGGG